GACGAACGCUGGUGGCGUGCUUAACACAUGCAAGUCGAACGGGAUUUAGUAAACAGAAGCCUCGGUGGAAGAUUACUAAUGAGAGUGGCGAACGGGUGAGUAACGCGUGAGCAACCUGCCUAUGACAGUGGGAUAGCCUCGGGAAACCGGGAUUAAUACCGCAUAACAUCGUAGAAACACAUGUUUUAACGGUCAAAGAUUUAUCGGUCAUAGAUGGGCUCGCGUCUGAUUAGCUAGUUGGUGAGAUAACAGCCCACCAAGGCGACGAUCAGUAGCCGGUCUGAGAGGAUGAACGGCCACAUUGGAACUGAGACACGGUCCAAACUCCUACGGGAGGCAGCAGUGGGGAAUAUUGCACAAUGGGGGAAACCCUGAUGCAGCGACGCCGCGUGAACGAAGAAGGUAUUCGUAUCGUAAAGUUCUGUCCUAUGGGAAGAUAAUGACAGUACCAUAGAAGAAAGCUCCGGCUAAAUACGUG
rnacentral:rRNA from 1 species